rnacentral:piRNA from 1 species
UGAGGAAUUGCCUCUUUGGAUUGGCCUGU